rnacentral:rRNA from 1 species
GCUAGCGCACAGUCAGUAACACGUGGCUAACCUGCCUUGGGACAGAAACAUCCCCGGGAAACUGGGGCUAAUUUCCGAUAGGUGAAGACUCCUGGAAUGGAUUUUCGCCGAAAGGGCGCUUAGGGCAUGCUUCUAGGCGUUGCCCAAGGAUGGGGCCGCGGCCGAUCAGGUUGUUGGUGAGGUAAUGGCUCACCAAGCCUUUAACCGGUACGGGCCGUGGGAGCGGUAGCCCGGAGAUGGGCACUGAGACAAGGGCCCAGGCCCUACGGGGCGCAGCAGUCGCGAAAACUUCGCAAUAAGCGAAAGCUUGACGGGGCCAUCCCGAGUGCCAUCUGCUGAGGAUGGCUUUUACCCAGUAUAGAUAGCUGGGGGAAUAAGGAGAGGGCAAGUCUGGUGUCAGCCGCCGCGGUAAUACCAGCUCUCCGAGUUGUAGGGAUGUUUAUUGGGCCUAAAGCAUCCGUAGCCGGCUGGACAAGUCCUCUGUUAAAUCCAGCGACAAAUCGUUGGUCUGCGGGGGAUACUGUCCGGCUAGGGGGCGGGAGAGGCCGUCGGUAUUCUUGGGGUAGGGGUGAAAUCCUAUAAUCCCAGGAGGACCACCAGUGGCGAAGGCUGUCGGCUAGAACGCGCCCGACGGUGAGGGAUGAAAGCUGGGGGAGCGAACCGGAUUAGAUACCCGGGUAGUCCCAGCUGUAAACGAUGCAGGCUAGGUGUUAGGGCGGCUACGUGCCGCUCUAGUGCCGCAGGGAAGCUGUUAAGCCUGCCGCCUGGGGAGACGCCGCAAGGCUGAACUUAAAGGCCA